GACGAAGGGGGCUAGCGUUGUUCGGAACUACUGGGCGUAAAGCGCGUGUAGGCGGUUUUCCAAGUUGGGUGUGAAAGCCUUGGGCUUAACCCAAGAAAUGCACUCAGUACUGGAAGACUAGAGGACCGGAGAGGAUAGUGGAAUUCCCAGUGUAGUGGUGAAAUACGUAGAGAUUGGGAAGAACACCAGUGGCGAAGGCGGCUAUCUGGACGGUUUCUGACGCUAAGACGCGAAAGCGUGGGGAGCAAACAGG
rnacentral:rRNA from 1 species